rnacentral:rRNA from 1 species
GCUUAGCCGUAAAAAAUUAAUUUACACCAAAACCGCCAGAGNAACUACGAGCGCAAGCUUAAAACUCAAAGGACUUGACGGUGUCCCAUCUACCUAGAGGAGCCUGUUCUAUAACCGAUGAUCCACGAUUAACCUCACCAUUUUUAGCUUUUCAGCCUGUAUACUUCCGUCGCAAGCUCACCAUGUGAAUGCAAUAGUGAGUUAAAUGAUUUAACAUCAAAACGUCAGGUCAAAGUGCAGCCAAUAAAAUGGAAAGAAAUGGGCUACAAUUUCUAACUUAGAACAUACGAAAUACCGUCUGAAACUCCGGUCAAGAAGGUGGAUUUAGAAGUAAAAUGAAAACAGAAAACUCAUUUUAAUACAGCCCUGGGACGUGUACACACCGCCCGUCACCCUCUUCGACGUAAUAAUUUUUAAUAAAUAAUUAANCCUUAAAAUAAAGAAGAGGCAAGUCGUAACAUGGUAAGCGUACUGGAAAGUGUGCUUGGNAAA